CCUACGGGUGGCAGCAGUCGAGAAUCAUUCACAAUGGGGGAAACCCUGAUGGGGCGACGCCGCGUGGGGGAAUGAAGGUCUGCGGAUUGUAAACCCCUGUCAUGUGGGAGCAAAUUAAAAAGAUAGUACCACAAGAGGAAGAGACGGCUACCGCUGGGCCAGCAGCCGCGGUAAUACAGAGGUCUCAAGCGUUGUUCGGAACAACUGGGCGUAAAGCGUGCGUAGGCUGUUGCGUAAGUCGUGGGUGAAAGGCGCGGGCUCCACCCGCGGACGGCACAUGAUACUGCGAGACUAGAGUACUGGAGGGGGAACCGGAAUUCUCGGUGUAGCCGU
rnacentral:rRNA from 1 species